CAGCAUCCGCGGUAAUACGAAGGGUGCAAGCGUUAAUCGGAAUUACUGGGCGUAAAGCGUGCGUAGGCGGUUUGUUAAGUCUGCUGUGAAAUCCCCGGGCUCAACCUGGGAAUGGCAGUGGAUACUGGCAAGCUAGAAUGUGUCAGGGGAUGGUGGAAUUCCCGGUGUAGCGGUGAAAUGCGUAGAGAUCGGGAGGAAUACCGGUGGCGAAGGCGGCCCCCUGGACAAAGACUGACGCUCAGGUGCGAAAGCGUGGGGAGCAAACAGGAUUAGAUACCCCUGUAGUCCCUGUCUCUUAUAC
rnacentral:rRNA from 1 species